rnacentral:rRNA from 1 species
GAGUUUGAUUCUGGCUCAGGAUGAACGCUGGCGGUACGCUUAACACAUGCAAGUCGAACGGGUAGUAAUACCAGUGGCAAACGGGUGAGUAAUGUACAGGAAUCUGCCAUCAGGUGGGGGAUAGCUCGGGGAAACUCGAAUUAAUACCGCAUAAUGCCGUGAGGUGAAAGCUUUGUGCGCCUUUUGAUGAGCCUGUAUUCGAUUAGCUAGUUGGUGGGGUAAUGGCCUACCAAGGCUACGAUCGAUAGCUGGUCUGAGAGGAUGAUCAGCCACAGUGGAACUGAGACACGGUCCACACUCCUACGGGAGGCAGCAGUGGGGAAUUUUCCGCAAUGGGCGAAAGCCUGACGGAGCGAUACCGCGUGUCGGAAGACGGCCUUAGGGUUGUAAACGACUGUCGGAGGGGAAGAAAAAAAAUGACGGUACCCUCAAAGGAAGCACCGGCUAACUCUGUGCCAGCAGCCGCGGUAAGACAGAGGGUGCAAGCGUUAUCCGAAUUUAUUGGGCGUAAAACGUCUGUAGGCGGUUCAUUAAGUCUUAAAGUUAAAUAGUUGAGCUCAACUCGGCUUUGCUUUGGAUACUGAUGAACUAGAGUGCGUUAGGGGUUAUUGGAAUUCCCGGUGUAGUGGUGAAAUACGUAGAUAUCGGGAGGAACUCCAGUGGCGAAAGCGAAUAACUGGGGCGUAACUGACGCUGAGAGACGAAAGCGUGGGGAGCAAAAAGGAUUAGAUACCCUUGUAGUCCAUGCUGUAAACGAUGAGUACUAGGUGUUGUAGAAAUCGACCUCUGCAGUACCGUAGCUAACGCGUUAAGUACUCUGCCUGGGAAGUACACUCGCAAGAGUGAAACUCAAAGGAAUUGACGGGGACCCGCACAAGAGGUGGAACAUGUGGUUUAAUUCGAUGCAACGCGAAAAACCUCACCUGGACUUGACAUGUUAGGAACCUGAGUGAAAGCUUAGGGUGCCCGCAAGGGAGCCUAAACACAGGUGCUGCAUGGUUGUCGUCAGCUCGUGUCGUGAGAUGUUGGGUUAAGUCCCGCAACGGGCGCAACCCUUGUUGUUAGUUGCCAUCAUUAAGUUGGGCACUCCAGCGAAACUGCCGGUGAUAAACCAGAGGAAGGUGGGGAUGACGUCAAAUCAGCAUGGCCCUUACGUCCAGGGCUACACACGUGUUACAAUGGGUGGUACAAUGGGUUGCUACACCGCGAGGUGAUGCGAAUCUCAUAAAGCCACUCUCAGUUCGGAUUGUAGUCUGCAACUCGACUACAUGAAGUUGGAAUCUCUAGUAAUCGUGGAUCAGAACGCCGCGGUGAAUACGUUCCCGGGUCUUGUACACACCGCCCGUCACACCAUGGGAGUUUGUCACGCCCAAAGUCGGUGACUCAACCGUAAGGAGAGAGCCGCCUAAGGCAGGGCAAAUGACUGGGGUGAAGUCGUAACAAGGUAGC